GCCUCGGUGGUGUAGUGGUAGCACAAGCACUCAAAAUGAGAGAGAGAGAGCGAGUUCAAAGCCCGCCUAAGGCU